rnacentral:rRNA from 1 species
CCAUUCCCGACACGGGGAGGUAGUGACGAAAAAUAACAAUACAGGACUCUAACGAGGCCCUGUAAUUGGAAUGAGCACAGUCUAAAGGUUUUAACGAGUAUCCAUUGGAGGGCAAGUCUGGUGCCAGCAGCCGCGGUAAUUCCAGCUCCAACAGUGUAUGCUAAAGUUGUUGCGGUUGAAAAGCUCGUAGUUGGAUCUUGGCUGGGCGCCGCCGGUCCGUCGCAAGGCGUGUUACUGGCGGCGCUCUCCCCCGGUUUUCGGUUCGCCCGAUCGGUGCUCUUGACUGAGUGUCGUCGGUGGCCGAUGAGAUUACUUUGAAAAAAUUAGAGUGUUCAAAGCAGGCUCCUCGCCUGAAUAGUGUUGCAUGGAAUAAUGGAAUAGGACCUCGGUUCUAUUUUGUUGGUUUUCGGAACGUUGAGGUAAUGAUUAAGAGGGACAGACGGGGGCGUCCGUACUCUGCCGUUAGAGGUGAAAUUCUUGGAUCGGCGGAAGACGAACUACUGCGAAAGCAUUCGCCAAGAAUGUUUUCUUUAAUCAAGAGCGAAAGUCAGAGGUUCGAAGACGAUCAGAUACCGUCCUAGUUCUGACUAUAAACGAUGCCAACUAGCGAUCGGGAGGCGUUACCAUGACGACCUUCCCGGCAGCUUCCGGGAAACCAAAGUCUUUGGGUUCUGGGGGAAGUAUGGUUGCAAAGCUGAAACUUAAAGGAAUUGACGGAAGGGCACCACCAGGAGUGGAGCCUGCGGCUUAAUUUGACUCAACACGGGGAAACUCACCCGGCCCGGACACAGGGAGGAU